rnacentral:rRNA from 1 species
AUUGAACACUGGCGGCAGGCCUAACACAUGCAAGUCGAGCGGAGCGGCGGACGGGUGAGUAAUGCCUAGGAAUCUGCCUGGUAGUGGGGGAUAACGUCCGGAAACGGGCGAUAAUACCGCAUACUCUCAGAUGAGCCUAGGUCGGCUUAGCUAGUUGGUGGGGUAAAGGCCUACCAAGGCGACGAUCCGUACCUGGUCUGAGAGGAUGAUCAGUCACACUGGAACUGAGACACGGGCCAGAAGCCUAAGGGAGGCAGCAGGGGGGAAUAUUGCACAAUGGGGGCAAGCCUGAUGCAGCCAUGCCGCGUGUGGGAAGAAGGCCUUGGGGUUGUAAAGCACUUUCAGCGGGGAGGCGUUACCCGCAGAAGAAGCACCGGCUAACUCCGUGCCAGCAGCCGCGGUAAUUC